UUUAAUUACAAAAAACCAGAUUUUAAAAUUUAUUUAUUCCAUGUCGAAGCAAACAACAAGCCAAAUGCCCAUAAAUUAAGUUACUUUCAAUUGCAAUGAAAUUGUUUGCCAAAAUGUGUAGAUUUUCUCUCUCUAUCUUUUCGUGUGGACUUAACUGGAACUUCAGACAGCUCAAGGAUCUAGCAAAUUCCACUACAAACUACAACUGCAAACGGCAGCCACAAGAGAUGCUUGAAUACAAUUAACAGCCAAAUGAAUUGUAAGAGAUCUGGCAGCAAGUGAGCCGGAACAAAAAGGGGCAACAAAAAUGAAACUUUAUACCAAAAAAAAAACAAAAAUUGUAUCCAAUGUGUGUUUGAGGGGUUGUGUUAUCCUCGUUUGGUCAAUUUGGAGCUACUUGGCAAAUUCAACAGCAAAACAUGACUUUGAAAACUUCAUUUAGAAAUGGAAUCAGAAUUUCGCCAUUCUUCUUUAUAGGUAAAUGGAAUGCCAAAUAAAGAUGCUUUAUUAAA